UUGUCAUCCCAACACCUCUCUUGUCCUUUCUCAUCCAAAAUCAAAGAACCUUCCUUUCCUCUUUCUUCUCUCCAUCUCCAAAAAGAGCCAAAGUACCAAUCUUUCCAUCACAGUUUGCUUCUUCUACCAAAUAUUCCCUUCUCAAACUCCACAAAAACAGAAGCCCAGAAGCCAGAUCACUUGUUUAUUCGCUUUUGUGUCUUGUUUUUCCUGUUUAGCAGCAGCUAUGGCAUCUUCACCAUCACCUAAGAAAAACCCCCCAACAGAAUCAGCCGUGGUGGUUCAAGUCCAACCCCCUUCCCCACGUUUACAUGUCACCACUCCAACAACUUGUGCUCAAAGAAGAAUAGGAAUUGCUGUUGAUCUCAGUGAUGAAAGUGCUUUUGCUGUCAAAUGGGCUGUUCAAAACUACUUACGUGCUGGUGAUGCAGUGAUCUUAGUCCAUGUUAGCCCCACAAAUGUUCUUUAUGGUGCUGAUUGGGGGUCGUUGCCAAUUAAAGAGAAUUACAAUCUAGAUGAUCAAAAUGAAGAGAAUCAGCAAAAGAUUGAAGAGGAUUUUAAUCUGUUUACAAGCACCAAAGCUAAUGAUAUAGCCCAGCCUCUUGUUGAUGCAAACAUACCCUUUAAAAUUCAUAUUGUGAAGGAUCAUGAUAUGAAAGAAAGGCUUUGUUUGGAGGUUGAGAGGUUGGGGUUGAGUGCUGUGGUAAUGGGGAGUAGAGGGUUUGGUGCUUCAAGGAAGAGUAGUAAAGGGAGGUUAGGGAGUGUUAGUGAUUAUUGUGUUCAUCAUUGCGUUUGCCCUGUUAUUGUUGUGAGGUUUCCUGAUGAGAAAGAUGGUGGCGCUGGUGAGGAGUCAGAGAGGGACGGUGGGACGACGUUGUGUACGGUGAUGGAGGAGGAGCAGGAAGAGCACGACAUGGAUGGUAAACAAUCAGACCACAUAAAUGAAUAGCGAACAAGAGAGGCAAAUGAUUGCAGAGGAAGAUAGUUGUGGUGGCCCAAAGACUGCUGAUAUGGAAGCAGCUUCUUGAAAGGAUAGAUGAGAUGUUCCAUGCGUCUUGUUGGUUGCAUGAUCAUUUCUUUGAAAAAUGCUUGGUAUUACUGUUCUCUGUCAGCUUAAUACUACAUUUCGAAAUGUGCAGUUUACUUAAAUGUGUAGUUUGGAUGAUGGAUCGGUGAUGAUGAACUGCUCUUUUGGAGGUCUUAGUGUAAAUAAGUUGCGCUUUUUUGAUGGACUGGCGAAAUAUCUGCUAAGAACCUCAUCUACUUGUAUGCAUAUUUGGUUUUCUUUAUUUCCAAUAUGUUUUAGUAAAUGUGAACUGAUUGGGAAA